rnacentral:tRNA from 1 species
CUUUGGUUAGCUCAGUGGGUAGAGCACCAGGCCAAGAAUCUGGCUGUGACGGGUUCGACUCCCGUACCAACUC